UCAUCCCUGGCGCAAUUGGUAGCGCGUUCGGCUGUUAACCCGUCGCAGUCAUCUAAGGUCCAUAGGACUUGAGUGUCUGUAACGGUCUCGCCACCGGAAGGCUGUCAGUUCGAGCCUGACUGGGAGGG